rnacentral:lncRNA from 1 species
AUCCUCGAGAAUUGGAUAAUCCCUUCAGGGAAUUGGGUACCAGAGAGGGUUUUUCUGUUUGACCGCCAACACAAUCAGAAAAAUUCUGCCUAGUUUUCUUUAACCCCAAAGUGAUUAUCUGGUUCUCAAGGAUUAACAAAAUUCAGCUUCUAUAAGUGUCUAUAUGCACUAGACUAAAACAAAGUUCAGAACCUAAAAUUUUAUGGUGCUGAUUUCUACUUGUAAACUAGAUAUGGCAAUGCUUCUUUAAUGUCCUGAUUUUUAAAUAUAUUUGCAGGAGGCUUCUGAUUUAAGGUACCCGUUCUGAUAAGACUUGGCUAAGUAAUUGCACAUCCUUCACUGCCUGGCCUCAUAGAAAAUUGGGUACAUGUUAAACAUAACAUCAUGAUAUUAUUUUUUUAUGCCCCACCUACGAUAGUAGAGGGGCAUUAUGUUUUCUGGUCUGUGCCUCCGUUCGUUCGUCGUCUGUGCGUCCGUUGCUUCAGGUUAAAGUUUUUGGUCAAGGUAGUUUUUGAAGAAGUUGAAGUCCAAUCAACUUGAAACUUAGUACACAUGUUCAUCAUGAUAUGAUCUUUCUAAUUUUAAUGCCAAAUUAUAGUUUUGACC